rnacentral:lncRNA from 1 species
UCGAAAUUGCUGAAGAACGAGAACUCUGAGUUCUCCAGGCUCGUCAAGGAGUACUCGAGGCGAUCCCACUGCUCCGGCGGCAGAGGAAACAACUGAAACAGGGGCAACCAGCACAGCAUGAAGCCAGGGAUUGAAGUGAACUUCAAAAUCAAUCGUAGUGGCCUAGUGGGUGGCAUAGCACUAGCUCCUAGCUAGACUCAGUUAUUCUGUUGCUGAUGGGAGCAAACGUCCUGUAUAAGAAAAAUAAACGAUAAGAAGCACAUAUUCCGCGUAAAUGUGUGCACGAGAAUGGUGACUGUAGGACGUUUUGCCUUUUUCAACUGUAAUACUUGAUCGGGGCCUUACACGUCGCAGUGCGUCCGGUCAGGCAUUCCAUCGAGCAGGCGACGGGCACAUAGCAGUGCGCUCGAGGCCGGCGCCAACUUAACGGCGCUAUCCCUCGCCUACCGGCUAUUGUAGAAGGAGGAGGUGGGGAAAAACGGCCAGGCGGGUCGUCGGUGUCAUCGCCGGAGCGGGGAUGGGGGCGGAGGAAGGCGGGGGCGAUGGGUGGCGGCCGUCGGCUGAAAGGUUGGGGAGGGCGG